UUGAUGUUUUGUAACAUUUUACAGCUGUAGAAGAUCAUGUACCAAUGAAAAGAUUCUAAAAAUGAAAAUGAUUUAUUCAGUAACCUACCAACCGUUGGGAGAACGACGCGGUCGCCGGGGAACGUACAUGCUCCUUGCAAUCAGCGGUCGGAGUUGAACCCGUGUUGGUUGUGUAGUAAAGAAGCUGUGAAAACCACCGAUUCUCACAGAUAGGGUUAAAGCGUCAGUACGUGGGCAGCGGCGGAAUUAUCCGUUUUGUCUUUGUCGACCUGUUCAGUGGAAAUUCAGUGUCAUCGCACCACUCCACACUGGAAUGCUCC